rnacentral:rRNA from 1 species
UACAGAGGUCCCAAGCGUUGUUCGGAUUCACUGGGCGUAAAGGGUGCGUAGGCGGUCUGCUAAGUUUGGAGUGACAGUUGGUGGCUUAACUGCCAAAGUGCUUCGAAAACUGACAGACUUGAGGGCUUCAGAGGGACACGGAAUUCCGGGUGGAGUGGUGAAAUGCGUAGAGAUCCGGAGGAACACCAAAGGCGAAGGCAGUGUCCUGGGGAGUACCUGACGCUCAGGUGCGAAAGCCAGGGGAGCGAACGGG